CAGAGGGAAGCAAGACCGCGAGGUGGAGCAAAUCCCUAAAAGCCAUCCCAGUUCGGAUUGCAGGCUGCAACCCGCCUGUAUGAAGUUGGAAUCGCUAGUAAUCGCGGAUCAGCAUGCCGCGGUGAAUACGUUCCCGGGCCUUGUACACACCGCCCGUCACACCAUGAGAGUCGGGAACACCCGAAGUCCGUAGUCUAACCGCAAGGGGGACGCGGCCGAAGGUGGGUUCGAUAAUUGGGGUGAAGUCGUAACAAGGUAGC
rnacentral:rRNA from 1 species